rnacentral:lncRNA from 1 species
CAGAUAACAGAAAUCUUCAUCAUUUAAGGAAUCCAUGAAAGUCGCAGCAGAAAUAGGUGAGAAUGACGGAUAAAAAUUCAAGAGAUUGCAUGAAUACAUGACAUACAUAGGUGAAAACAUUACAACAUAGAUCACGGAUUUGUAAAGUAGUACUAUAUAAAAUUCCUUGCACAGAUUAAUAUCUGUGAUCGUAUUUUGAACUAACGUACGAAAACAUGAUCAUGAAGGGAUACUAUGCAAUUUGCAUGUUUAUGCAAAUACAGAAAAUCUAAUGCGACUCGAGGCUGGAAUAUUUUAUGUAUCUCCUUAAAUACAUUAAAGUGAAUGCCCACAUGCAUGCGUUGCUGACAUUCACUUAUACAGAGCUGUAAACUAUUCGCUUCCAUAUUACAUGAUAUACACAGUGAAGGAAAUUUUCCGCUAGACUGUUUUUAAUAAGUAAAUCAACACAAUAAUUUGUAAAAUUUGAUGCACAAUAGUUGUUUCGAUGAUUCAAAUAUUUUAGUUCUGAAAGUCUACGUAUGAAUGCGAAAUGAAAUGGCUAAUUGCGAUAAAUUACAAAUUCAUUUGAAGAACAGUAACUCGCGUUCAUUACUAAGUAACUAAUUAUUAUGCAAAGCAAGGUUUAAAAUUCAAUUCAAUUCUUUAUUUACACUCAGACACAAAAUAUGUUACAUGAGGACAAAAGACUGGAAACCAGUAACAACAUUAAAACAGUUGCCUUUGGUAGGACUUUGAAAUGAUAUACAAUGCAACCAGAACAAAUUAAACAUAUGAUGAUAUAGUUACUUAUAAUUUUCUUGACUGUCGUUAAACUUUUUUAAGAUUUCUAAAUGAUAUAAUUUCUACAAUGAUUUUGUUUUAGGAAACGUUAAAAAGUGGAAAAAGAAGAAGUUUACUAGAAAAAACAUAUUGAUAAAGAUUUUGAAGAUCUUAAAACAUCAAUUUCAGUUUGCAAAACACGUGUUUGCUCGAAACAGAAUUUGAACUCAUAACAUGUCUGUGAGCACCAAAC